rnacentral:tRNA from 1 species
GCCCCCAUCGUCUAGAGGCCCAGGACAUCGGCUUUUCAAGCCGACGACACGGGUUCGAAUCCCGUUGGGGGCG